rfam:Oryza glumipatula chromosome 8, whole genome shotgun sequence.
GAUAUCAACUGAAAACGUCAUCAACAACAAAGUUGAAUAACUCAUCAAGAUCUAAAACUUUUAUUUUGGUCAUUUCUUCAUACGACAAAGUGAUAGUAACAUUGUUCACAAAAUUGACAUAUCUCUUAUCUGGUUUUAUAAACUAUAACACAUAUAUGUAAAAUUUGUGAAUAAUAUUACUAACAUUUCGUCGGAUGAAGAAAUAACAAAAGUAAAAGUUUUAGAUCUUGAUGAGUUAUUCAACUUUGUUGUUGAUGACUUUUUCAAUUGAAAUC